rnacentral:rRNA from 1 species
UACUAUUACCGAAGCUGUUAGACGGAUGGCUUGGUUUUGGUUUCGACGAAGGACGUGGCAAGCUGCGAUAAGCUUGGGGGAGUUGCAUGCAAGCUUUGAUCCCAAGAUUUCCGAAUGUGCAGAGAUGCACGAAUACGCCGGGAAUUGAAACAUCUUAGUACCGGCAGGAAGAGAAAAUAAAUUAAUGAUUCCCUUAAUAGCAGCGAGCGAAAAGGGAAGAGGGCAAACCGAAUCUCCUCUUGAAAGAGGGGCAGAGAUGUGGUGAGCGUAAAUUCCUAAGUUAUCGAGUCAAAUUUCUCUGGAAUGAGAAGCCUUAGAGAGUGAUAGCCUCGUAGACGAAGAUGAUAUGGAGUUGCUUAAAGAGUAGGGCUCCCUGAAUUGGGGGUCUGAAUACGGCGGGAUUAACCGCUAACCCUAAAUAGAACCAAAGUCCGAUAGCGCAUUAGUACCGCGAGGGAACGCUGAAAAGAACCCGUAACAGGGAGUGAAAAGAUCUGAAAUCUAACAGUUACAGUUUGUUACUGCCUCCUCCUCUUCGGAGGCGGGGUUGUAACGUACGUUUCGAAGAACGAGCCAGGGAGUUUACUUAUGUGGCGAGGCUAAUCAUCUAUGAUGAGUAACCGAAGCGAAAGCAAGUCUGAAAGGGCGAGAGUCACAUGGGUCAGACCUGAAACCUAGUGAUCUAAUCAUGGAUAAGAUGAAGUCUCCCGAAAGGGGGAUGGAGGUCUGAACUAGUGCUAUAUACAUGUGCUUGGAUAAUCUGUGAUUCGGAGUGAAAAGCCUAUCUAACUGGGCGAUGGCUGGUUCCUGCUGAAAUAUGCCUUCGUAUAGUCUUGUCUAGCUCGUCGACGGUGUAAAGUACGGAUAAAAUUUGCAGGAGCACAUGCUUACGGAAUUUUUUCCAACUCAGAAGCUGUCGACUGCAUAGGACAAGAAACAGGGGCAGUAUGUAAGAUACUGUUCCGAGACCCAAAAAAGGGAGACCAGAGUUAAGGUCCCUAAAUUCGUGCUAAGUGUAUCAAAAGGUGUCUUGGACCUGAGACACUAGGGAUGUAAGCUUAGAAGCAGCUAUCAUUUAAAGAAAGCGUAACAGCUCACCUAUCGAGGCCCAGGGCCCUGAAAAUGGACGGGGCUAAGCACGGUACCGACACUCUGGCGGCUCUCAGUAUGAGAGUUCGAGUAAGCAGGCGUCCUUUCUGCGUCGAAGCCUCUUCGAGAGAAGGUGUGGAGCGGAAAGGAAUGAAAAUCCUGGUGGUAGUAGGAUGUGAUUUCUCUGAGAAUGAGAAACGUCGAAAGGGUAAGGUUUCCUUGGCAAUAUAAGUUAGCCAAGGGUUAGUCAGCGCCUAAGUUGUGCCCUAACAGAGUACGACGAUGGACAACAGGUUAAUAUUCCUGUACUGAUUAAAUCUUAUAUGGUAUAGAUCGCUUUCGGAUAAGUGAGCACUCGAGAGAGUGUUCUAGUGAAGAAACAUAGGGAGCGUAAUGCAGAGAUCUAUGUAAAUUCAUUAGAUAAAAUCGCUGACUCCAGGAGCCAGUGAAAAGUCUAUGCACUUGAUUUAGUUAGCUGUACCCACAACCGACACUGGUGCCCUAGCUGAGAAGGCUAAGACGUGAAAGGAUAAACCAACUAAGGGAAUUCGGCAAAUUAGUCCUGUAACUUCGGUUGAAGGGAUGUCUAUCUUUGUGAUUUUAGAAAUAUUAUUGCAUCGGUAGAUUACAAUAACAAGGAUGGCCCGACUGUUUACCAAAAACGUAGCCAAGUGCUAAUCCGUAAGGACUUGUAUACUUGGUGAGACCUGCCCAGUGGUGGUGUCUCAAACCCCUUUUCAAGGGGGCUAAGGCCCAUUAAACGGCGGGAGUAACUAUGACUCUCUUACGGUAGCGUAAUACCUUGUCGUCUGAAUGGCGACUUGCAUGAAUGGUUUAACGUGGUUGUCACUGUCCCUAGUUGGAACCUUCUGAACACACUACGUGGUGAAAAGGCCACGGACGUCUAAUGGGAAGCGAAGACCUUGUGGAACUUUACUGCAACUUGUUGUUGUAAUUUUAAAUGGAAUGCAUAGAAUAGGUAGGAGCGUCGAGAAUGUCAUUUCGGUGGCAGAGGAGCAAAAUUGUAAUACUACCCAUUUUUAUUAAAGUUGCUUACUCUUUAUGGGAACAGCAGCAGGCGGGCAGUUUGGCUGGGGCGGCGCCCUGUCGAAAAGAUAUCGAUAGGACCCAAUGAUGAGCUCAUCCGGCUUGGAAACCCGGAGUUGAGUGCGAGGGCAAAAGCUCAUCUGACUGUAUUUUGAAAAGCAAGAAAUGCAGGCUCGAAAGAGUGGCCUAGUGAACCCACGUGCUUUUUUAAUAGAAGCCGUGUCUGAUAGAAAAGUUACCCCAAGGAUAACAGGCUUGUCGCACCCGAUAGUCCAUAUUGACGGUGCGGUUUGGUACAUCGCUGUCGGCUCUUCCUAUCCUGCGCGGGCAGAAGCGUGCAAGGGGGUCGGAGGUCACGCAUUAAAAGGGAUCGUUAGCUGGGUUAAGAACG